UUUAUAAAAUGGUUUCGAUAGUGUCAAUUGUAGUAAAUUUCUUAAAAAUUUCCUAUUAAAAAAAUUAUUAUUAAGCUAAUAGCUACAUUUUUAAAAAAAAAUUUAAUUUUUGUUUAGCAAGUCAGAUCAACUUAAUUUGACAUGUAGUAAUAUAGAUAUUUUAUAAUUUAGAAAAAAAAUAUUAGGAAGUCAAAAAUAUUAGUAAGCUUUGGUAAAGACCUGGUUUUGUUAUAUUGUGGUUAAGAUUGUGCCAGCAAUCGCGGUUAUACUCUCACUAAAGACUUUUAUUAGGGUUUAAGUUGUUAUAAAAAUAUUUUUAUUUAAGGUGGAAUUUUUAAAUUUAGUGUUUAGAUUAUCUUAAGAAUAAAAUUAUUAAACUAGGAUUAGAUACCCUACUAUAAAUUUAACCUAAAUGAAUAGGUGGAAAAAUUAAUAAAUUUGGCGGCUUUGAUUAAUCAGAGGAGUUUGUUUAUUAAACUGAUAAACCCCGGUAUUUUAUACUUGUGUUUUUCUUUUAUACCAUCAUUUAAAUAAUUUUUAUUAAAUAUUGUUUAUAAAUUUCUAAAAAUUUAGAUCGAGGUGAAGAGAUACACAAGGUUUUAAUUAACUACAUUAAGAAGCUUUUUAUUAACUCUAGUAACUUAGAAAAGGUAUAGGAUUUGAUAGUAAAAACUUACACUUUUGAUUUAAAAUUCAAAGUGUACAAAUUGCCCGUCAUUCCCUUUGGGACAAGUCGAAACAAAGUAGAAUAACCUGAAGGUUAUUCU
rnacentral:ncRNA from 1 species